AUUGAACGCUGGCGGCAUGCCUUACACAUGCAAGUCGAACGGUAACAGGUUAAGCUGACGAGUGGCGAACGGGUGAGUAAUGUAUCGGAACGUGCCCAGUCGUGGGGGAUAACUGCUCGAAAGAGCAGCUAAUACCGCAUACGACCUGAGGGUGAAAGCGGGGGAUCGCAAGACCUCGCGCGAUUGGAGCGGCCGAUAUCAGAUUAGGUAGUUGGUGAGGUAAAGGCUCACCAAGCCGACGAUCUGUAGCUGGUCUGAGAGGACGACCAGCCACACGGGGGCUGAGACACGGCCCAGACUCCUACGGGAGGCAGCAGUGGGGAAUUUUGGACAAUGGGCGCAAGCCUGAUCCAGCCAUGCCGCGUGCGGGAAGAAGGCCUUCGGGUUGUAAACCGCUUUUGUCAGGGAAGAAAAGGUUCUGGCUAAUACCUGGGACUCAUGACGGUACCUGAAGAAUAAGCACCGGCUAACUACGUGCAAGCAGCCGCCGCCG
rnacentral:rRNA from 1 species